CAAGGGGUUUUUCUUUAUUUUUACUAUUUUCUACAUUGUAGAAUAAUGGUAAAGACAUCAAAACUAUGAAAUAACACAUAUGGAAUCAUUUGUAGUAACCAAAAAAGUGUUAAGCCCUCCUCUGUCCCUUAGUCUUCUAUGCAUUACUGUGUGUACAUGUGAUUUUGGAGACCCUUCUGGCAAAGUAGUAUUUUAUAGAUUAGAACACAAUAUCCCAGAAUCCCCAGCUCUCAUUGUUAGUCCCUGCUGAGACUUUGCGGCAACUAGUGACAACCCAACAGAGUCGGGAUGUUUGAGACAUGAUAAGAUUGAAAAUGAUUCAAUUACAUUUUUUGCAACAAUGUCUCCAGAACAGGUACAAAAAAAUAUUACACACUGGGUAUAAUUCUCAUUUUUAGAUUGUGAUAUAAAAAAAAUCACCUUGUCAGCAAUGUCAAGGUAGGUAGCUAGCUAGUUGAUGAUAGCUACGGUGAAUUAUUCUAAAGUCAUGGUGAGUAGAGACAUCAUGUCAAUAGGUACCAGUCAUGGUGAGUAGAGACAUCAUGUCAAUAGGUACCAGUCAUGGUGAGUAGAGACAUCAUGUCAAUAGGUACCAGUCAUGGUGAGUAGAGACCUCAUGUCAAUAGGUACCAGUCAUGGUGAGUAGAGACAUCAUGUCAAUAGGUACCAGUCAUGGUGAGUAGAGACAUCAUGUCAAUAGGUACCAGUCAUGGUGAGUAGAGACCUCAUGUCAAUAGGUACCAGUCAUGGUGAGUAGAGACAUCAUGUCAAUAGGUACCAGUCAUGGUGAGUAGAGACAUCAUGUCAAUAGGUACCAGUCAUGGUGAGUAGAGACAUCAUGUCAAUAGGUACCAGUCAUGGUGAGUAGAGACAUCAUGUCAAUAGGUACCAGUCAUGGUGAGUAGAGACAUCAUGUCAAUAGGUACCAGUCAUGGUGAGUAGAGACAUCAUGUCAAUAGGUACCAGUCAUGGUGAGUAGAGACAUCAUGUCAAUAGGUACCAGUCAUGGUGAGUAGAGACAUCAUGUCAAUAGGUACCAGUCAUGGUGAGUAGAGACAUCAUGUCAAUAGGUACCAGUCAUGGUGAGUAGAGACAUCAUGUCAAUAGGUACCAGUCAUGGUGAGUAGAGACAUCAUGUCAAUAGGUACCAGUCAUGGUGAGUAGAGACAUCAUGUCAAUAGGUACCAGUCAUGGUGAGUAGAGACAUCAUGUCAAUAGGUACCAGUCAUGGUGAGUAGAGACAUCAUGUCAAUAGGUACCAGUCAUGGUGAGUAGAGACAUCAUGUCAAUAGGUACCAGUCAUGGUGAGUAGAGACAUCAUGUCAAUAGGUACCAGUCAUGGUGAGUAGAGACAUGUCAAUAGGUACCAGUCAUGGUGAGUAGAGACACCAUGUCAAUAGGUACCAGUCAUGGUGAGUAGAGACAUCAUGUCAAUAGGUACCAGUCAUGGUGAGUAGAGACAUCAUGUCAAUAGGUACCAGUCAUGGUGAGUAGAGACCUCAUGUCAAUAGGUACCAGUCAUGGUGAGUAGAGACCUCAUGUCAGGUUUAAAUGUAUUAUUGUCAUAAUGCAUAUUGUGUCAUAUCAUGCCAUACAUAAUCAUAUCAUCCUGUCAAUUCAUAUCUGACAUUAAGAUACUCUACAGAAACUUUAUUGAGGUUGUAUCUUACAGACUGAAUAGCUAGUGGUUAGUUUGGUGAUACAACUUCAGAGUUUCUGUAGAGUAUCACUAAACUAACCACUAGCCAUUCAGUCAUGGUGAGUGAUGUCUAAUGGCACAUUUAGAGUACAAUUACAUGGAUGCAUGUAGGGGGGGGGACUUUUAUUUUGAAAAAAACUUGUCCUCAAUGGGAGCAGCAGGUAAAACCAGCAGCAGGCUCGACUAUAUCUCAAUUCAUCAUUCCCCGAUUCCU